rnacentral:misc_RNA from 1 species
CAGAGUUCAUGCCCUUCGGGGUAGACCUCCCACCCUGUUUAAUUACUAUUGUUGCUUUGGCAGGCUGCCCUCACCAUGGGGCGUCCGGGUUCCGCCCGCGUCUCGCCUGCCAGAAGCCCCCUAAUUCUGUGUUCUGUGUCGUCUGAGUACUAUAUAAUAAGUUA